AGCGUACACGGUGGAUGCCCUGGCAGUCAGAGGCGAUGAAGGACGUGCUAAUCUGCGAUAAGCGUCGGUGAGGUGAUAUGAACCGUUAUAACCGGCGAUUUCCGAAUGGGGAAACCCAGUGUGUUUCGACACACUAUCAUUAACUGAAUCCAUAGGUUAAUGAGGCGAACCGGGGGAACUGAAACAUCUAAGUACCCCGAGGAAAAGAAAUCAACCGAGAUUCCCCCAGUAGCGGCGAGCGAACGGGGAGCAGCCCAGAGCCUGAAUCAGUGUGUGUGUUAGUGGAAGCGUCUGGAAAGGCGCGCGAUACAGGGUGACAGCCCCGUACACAAAAAUGCACAUGCUGUGAGCUCGAUGAGUAGGGCGGGACACGUGGUAUCCUGUCUGAAUAUGGGGGGACCAUCCUCCAAGGCUAAAUACUCCUGACUGACCGAUAGUGAACCAGUACCGUGAGGGAAAGGCGAAAAGAACCCCGGCGAGGGGAGUGAAAAAGAACCUGAAACCGUGUACGUACAAGCAGUGGGAGCCUCUUUAUGGGGUGACUGCGUACCUUUUGUAUAAUGGGUCAGCGACUUAUAUUCUGUAGCAAGGUUAACCGAAUAGGGGAGCCGAAGGGAAACCGAGUCUUAACUGGGCGUUAAGUUGCAGGGUAUAGACCCGAAACCCGGUGAUCUAGCCAUGGGCAGGUUGAAGGUUGGGUAACACUAACUGGAGGACCGAACCGACUAAUGUUGAAAAAUUAGCGGAUGACUUGUGGCUGGGGGUGAAAGGCCAAUCAAACCGGGAGAUAGCUGGUUCUCCCCGAAAGCUAUUUAGGUAGCGCCUCGUGAAUUCAUCUCCGGGGGUAGAGCACUGUUUCGGCAAGGGGGUCAUCCCGACUUACCAACCCGAUGCAAACUGCGAAUACCGGAGAAUGUUAUCACGGGAGACACACGGCGGGUGCUAACGUCCGUCGUGAAGAGGGAAACAACCCAGACCGCCAGCUAAGGUCCCAAAGUCAUGGUUAAGUGGGAAACGAUGUGGGAAGGCCCAGACAGCCAGGAUGUUGGCUUAGAAGCAGCCAUCAUUUAAAGAAAGCGUAAUAGCUCACUGGUCGAGUCGGCCUGCGCGGAAGAUGUAACGGGGCUAAACCAUGCACCGAAGCUGCGGCAGCGACGCUUAUGCGUUGUUGGGUAGGGGAGCGUUCUGUAAGCCUGCGAAGGUGUGCUGUGAGGUAUGCUGGAGGUAUCAGAAGUGCGAAUGCUGACAUAAGUAACGAUAAAGCGGGUGAAAAGCCCGCUCGCCGGAAGACCAAGGGUUCCUGUCCAACGUUAAUCGGGGCAGGGUGAGUCGACCCCUAAGGCGAGGCCGAAAGGCGUAGUCGAUGGGAAACAGGUUAAUAUUCCUGUACUUGGUGUUACUGCGAAGGGGGGACGGAGAAGGCUAUGUUGGCCGGGCGACGGUUGUCCCGGUUUAAGCGUGUAGGCUGAUUUUCCAGGCAAAUCCGGAAAAUCAAGGCUGAGGCGUGAUGACGAGGCACUACGGUGCUGAAGCAACAAAUGCCCUGCUUCCAGGAAAAGCCUCUAAGCAUCAGGUAACAUCAAAUCGUACCCCAAACCGACACAGGUGGUCAGGUAGAGAAUACCAAGGCGCUUGAGAGAACUCGGGUGAAGGAACUAGGCAAAAUGGUGCCGUAACUUCGGGAGAAGGCACGCUGAUAUGUAGGUGAAGCGACUUGCUCGUGGAGCUGAAAUCAGUCGAAGAUACCAGCUGGCUGCAACUGUUUAUUAAAAACACAGCACUGUGCAAACACGAAAGUGGACGUAUACGGUGUGACGCCUGCCCGGUGCCGGAAGGUUAAUUGAUGGGGUUAGCGGUAACGCGAAGCUCUUGAUCGAAGCCCCGGUAAACGGCGGCCGUAACUAUAACGGUCCUAAGGUAGCGAAAUUCCUUGUCGGGUAAGUUCCGACCUGCACGAAUGGCGUAAUGAUGGCCAGGCUGUCUCCACCCGAGACUCAGUGAAAUUGAACUCGCUGUGAAGAUGCAGUGUACCCGCGGCAAGACGGAAAGACCCCGUGAACCUUUACUAUAGCUUGACACUGAACAUUGAGCCUUGAUGUGUAGGAUAGGUGGGAGGCUUUGAAGUGUGGACGCCAGUCUGCAUGGAGCCGGCCUUGAAAUACCACCCUUUAAUGUUUGAUGUUCUAACGUUGGCCCCUGAUCGGGGUUGCGGACAGUGUCUGGUGGGUAGUUUGACUGGGGCGGUCUCCUCCUAAAGAGUAACGGAGGAGCACGAAGGUUGGCUAAUCCUGGUCGGACAUCAGGAGGUUAGUGCAAUGGCAUAAGCCAGCUUGACUGCGAGCGUGACGGCGCGAGCAGGUGCGAAAGCAGGUCAUAGUGAUCCGGUGGUUCUGAAUGGAAGGGCCAUCGCUCAACGGAUAAAAGGUACUCCGGGGAUAACAGGCUGAUACCGCCCAAGAGUUCAUAUCGACGGCGGUGUUUGGCACCUCGAUGUCGGCUCAUCACAUCCUGGGGCUGAAGUAGGUCCCAAGGGUAUGGCUGUUCGCCAUUUAAAGUGGUACGCGAGCUGGGUUUAGAACGUCGUGAGACAGUUCGGUCCCUAUCUGCCGUGGGCGCUGGAGAACUGAGGGGGGCUGCUCCUAGUACGAGAGGACCGGAGUGGACGCAUCACUGGUGUUCGGGUUGUCAUGCCAAUGGCACUGCCCGGUAGCUAAAUGCGGAAGAGAUAAGUGCUGAAAGCAUCUAAGCACGAAACUUGCCCCGAGAUGAGUUCU
rnacentral:rRNA from 2 species